rnacentral:rRNA from 1 species
GAUGAACGCUGGCGGCGUGCUUAACACAUGCAAGUCGAACGGAAAGGCCCAAGCUUGCUUGGGUACUCGAGUGGCGAACGGGUGAGUAACACGUGGGUGAUCUGCCCUGCACUUCGGGAUAAGCCUGGGAAACUGGGUCUAAUACCGGAUAGGACCACUUCUUGGAUGUUGUGGUGGAAAGUUUUUUCGGUGUGGGAUGAGCUCGCGGCCUAUCAGCUUGUUGGUGGGGUAAUGGCCUACCAAGGCGUCGACGGGUAGCCGGCCUGAGAGGGUGUACGGCCACAUUGGGACUGAGAGACGGCCCAGACUCCUACGGGAGGCAGCAGUGGGGAAUAUUGCACAAUGGGCGCAAGCCUGAUGCAGCGACGCCGCGGGGGGGAUGACGGCCUUCGGGUUGUAAACUCCUUUCGCUAGGGACGAAGCGUUUUGUGACGGUACCUGGAGAAGAAGCACCGGCUAACUACGUG